UAUAAAUGUUAAAACUUGUUUGUCAAAUGGACAAAAUGUUAAUUAGUGUUAUUGCCCUUACCCCAUUUGUUUGGAAGGAAUAAGAAAGUUCGCAAUGUUUCAUACAAGAUUAAUUAGCGUGUGCAGGCCAUUUAAAACAACAACAUUGUGCUUUCGAGGAAUCUAAUAGUUUCGGAAUCAAAAUCUUAACCACCGUUCAAAGUCCUAAAUGGCUAUUUUUGACUAAACUUAGAAAUAAAUCACAUCCGACAGUCAAAAA